CUGGAACACAGACUGAGGCCUGCAGAUCCCUGGCCCGGCGUUUCCUUACAAAUGUGGCUUUGGCGCUCUGAGAAAGGGCUGCACAUUAGGAGAAAAAACAGAAUAUCUCCCCGUACAGUUCUGAUCUUCACAUGGCUGGGCGAGGGUGUGCACCAUCGGAACAGACUGUGCCUGGCUUGUUAACCACCGUUGCCCCAGGUUAACAGGGCCCUGCCCAGGGAAGGCCUCCGGAUGCACCCUGGAAACACCGCAGUGACCAAAGCAUCAUCUCUGUCCUCGAGAAGCUUGCAGUUUAGUGAGAAAGACAACUGGGUAAGCAGUAAAUGAUGGUAAAGUGUGGUAAGAAUGACGGUGCAAGGAGCUGCCGGGGA
rnacentral:lncRNA from 1 species